UACGAGAGGCGCAAACGUUAUUCGGAAUUACUGGGCUUAAAGAGUUCGUAGGCGGCGCAGAAAGUAGGGUGUGAAAGCCCUCGGCUUAACCGAGGAAUUGCGCUCUAAACUACUGUGCUUGAGGGACCUAGAGGUGAGCGGAACUGAUGGUGGAGCGGUGAAAUGCGUUGAUGUCAUCAGGAACACCGGAGGCGAAGGCGGCUCACUGGGGGUCUUCUGACGCUGAGGAACGAAAGCCAGGGGAGCGAACGGG
rnacentral:rRNA from 1 species